AGUGGGUGUGCUUUCCAAGCCGUGCACCUUCAUCAAGCAAUAUUCUGGCCCAGAAAAUACAGAACUAGAAUUCAGAAAGUACCUUAAGUAGAUUCCACAGGCAAUGAAUAUUGGAGAAGAGGUGGAAAAUUCCUCAAUUCAAGAUGAGAAAUCCUUGAAAAGUUGUAAAAGACAGCACAGAAUAGACUGGGUGCCAUGAAGAUGUGAUGUUCUGCUGUCUCUUUCUUUUUUGUGCUGUUGGCUGAUGGACCUGAUGUACCUCCACCGCAGUAAUCUAAAGGGACAGCCUAAGAACAGAAAGGCCUUUCAUCUUACUGGCAACAAAGAGAGAGUCCAGCUGCAGUAGGUAAACUUUGUAAGAAAAUAUACACUGAUAAUUGGCUGAACCACUGGGACCUGUGCCAUACUGAACAGCUGCUGUGAACUGUAAAGGAUGUC
ensembl:lncRNA